rnacentral:rRNA from 1 species
AGUGAACGCUGGCGGUAGGCCUAACACAUGCAAGUCGAACGGCAGCACAGAGGAGCUUGCUCCUUGGGUGGCGAGUGGCGGACGGGUGAGGAAUACAUCGGAAUCUACUCUGUCGUGGGGGAUAACGUAGGGAAACUUACGCUAAUACCGCAUACGACCUACGGGUGAAAGCAGGGGAUCUUCGGACCUUGCGCGAUUGAAUGAGCCGAUGUCGGAUUAGCUAGUUGGCGGGGUAAAGGCCCACCAAGGCGACGAUCCGUAGCUGGUCUGAGAGGAUGAUCAGCCACACUGGAACUGAGACACGGUCCAGACUCCUACGGGAGGCAGCAGUGGGGAAUAUUGGACAAUGGGCGCAAGCCUGAUCCAGCCAUACCGCGUGGGUGAAGAAGGCCUUCGGGUUGUAAAGCCCUUUUGUUGGGAAAGAAAGCCAUCUGGUUAAUACCCGGGUGGGAUGACGGUACCCAGAGAAUAAGCACCGGCUAACUUCGUGCCAGCCGCCGCGGUAA